rnacentral:tRNA from 1 species
GGGCCGUUAGCUCAACUAGGCAGAGCACCUGACUCUUAAUCAGUAGGUUCGGGGUUCGAUUCCCCGACGGCCCACCA